ACGAGGCCUAACUCAGUCCAAAAAAAAUCUUCUGAUGUCCAUAGACAGCAGUAGGCUUCUGUGUGUUGUUUGGACGUGGACUGACAGAGUGACCGAGUACGCCAUCUGUCUUAAAGCCAUUCCCAAACCUCAACGAACCGCGGUGCUCAGAGUAACUCGGGCAUACCACAAAAUCAUCGCUGACUCGGCUCUUUUUCUCGUCAGGCUUUCCCCCUGAAGAUUUCCUCACCCUUGAGAGAAAGAAAAUUUGCUUAAGGAUGGAUGACCCGGACAGGUCCGAGUCGGCCACGAAGAUCUAAAGAAACGAGCGUGACAUCCUGCUUGCUGCUUGGUCAAAUAGUUGGAGCCGCAAAAACAAGACGGUCUCAACUCGUAAGAUAUUGAAAGAUAUAAGGAGACGGUUAACGAGACACCCAAAGAAUCUAACCUACCACUUAUCGCAGAUUACAUUUGGUCACGAUUACCCCAAGGACACUACGUGUGUCGCAUGGGGCGUGCUUCGGACGCUGAGUGUUUGUGCUAUCAUUUCCUUGAAGACAUCGAAAAAAACGAUUUUUGAAUGCUCUCAUUGAGAACUCUGCCAUCAGCUAAUCAA